rnacentral:lncRNA from 1 species
CCCACUCAGGGUUUCAAGUCGGGAUCCUCUCUGGCCUCUCAGCCCCAGAGCCUUAAGAGCUGAUGCAACCCUGGCCGGCUCCGGAAGUCCCGCCCCGCCCCGCAAGCGCAACUUCCGGUCCCUCACCGUUGCCAGGCAACCAAUCGACGCCCCGCGAGGAGGGGAGGAGCCAGGAUGCGGGUGGGAAGCCUGCCGGGAAUUGUAGUCCUGGCCUGCCUGGGGUCUCUGACCCGCGGACACCAGACCUGCAAGGAGGGUCACUGGGUCCGACCCCGCCGAUGCCCUUCAGAAAUCUGAGGGGAAAUGGAGAGCCCGAGCCGCGAAACGAUCAGUCAGAGAAGGGAACAAAAGAGCCAUUAUAAAGUGUCAAGGAGCACAAGAUCAAAAAGGACCAAACCAAUCCAGGUAGAAUUGAUGAACUUCUAUGCCAAGAAAAUAAGACUUAAACUUGUUUGGGUUUCAAGGUUGCAUAUGUUUGACAUAUGUCAGAGGCAGGUCUUCCUUGUCCUACAUUUUAACAAGCACCUCACUUUGGCUGCCCUCCUGGCUCCCAUAAAUCUGGUCCCUUUUCUGUCUUUCAUAGUGUGGCAAACUUUCUAUAGUCCUGGCUACUGACUGAGUAAGUGCAUAAUUACAUAAAUCACUUUGAUUGGUUCUUGAUUCAAGAACCUGUUAUAGGUUUAUUUUCCUUUACUUAGAAUUUUUACAUAUAAGUCUUUGAUAUUCUAUAUUUCAUCCAGAAGUUAUUUUUUCUCUUUUAUUUGGAUUUUUUGAUGUUUUUUAUUUCUCUUGCUAAUUGAUUCAUAUGCCUCAUAACUCAGCCAUGCAUCCCCUAAGUGAUCCCUUUGUUUUUCAACAUCCUCCUCAGGGGUGUUAUUGUGGGAUUAUUAAGGGGAAAUAACAAGAGGGAAACAAAUAUUUUAAGUUUAUUGUUGGAAAGGUUGAGAGGAAGGAGGGUAAAAAAGGUAAGGGAAGGUUCUUAAAUCUUAACCCCAAAACUUCAUUCCCAUAAAACUAUCUUAAUGGCUAAAUUAUCUAUACUAAAUAAAUUGUUUCCCCAAACACA